GACGAACGCUGGCGGCGUGCUUAACACAUGCAAGUCGAACGGUGAAGCGCCUUCCUUUUUGGUGGGUGUGGAUGAGUGGCGAACGGGUGAGUAACACGUGAGUAACCUGCCCCCUUCUUCUGGAUAACCGCAUGAAAGUGUGGCUAAUACGGGAUAUUCUGGGUCUGUCGCAUGAUGGGUCUGGGAAAGAUAUUGUUUCGGUGGGGGAUGGGCUCGCGGCCUAUCAGCUUGUUGGUGGGGUGAUGGCCUACCAAGGCGGUGACGGGUAGCCGGCCUGAGAGGGUGGACGGUCACACGGGGACUGAGACACGGCCCAGACUCCUACGGGAGGCAGCAGUGGGGAAUAUUGCACAAUGGGCGCAAGCCUGAUGCAGCGACGCCGCGUGAGGGAUGGAGGCCUUCGGGUUGUGAACCUCUUUCGCCAGUGAAGCAGGCCUGCCUCGUUUGUGGGUGGGUUGACGGUAGCUGGAUAAGAAGCGCCGGCUAACUACGUG
rnacentral:rRNA from 1 species